rnacentral:rRNA from 1 species
AGAACGAACGCUGGCGGCAGGCUUAACACAUGCAAGUCGAACGGUUGUAGCAAUACAGCAGUGGCAGACGGGUGAGUAACACGUGGGAACCUUCCUAGGGGUACGGAACAACUCAGGGAAACUUGAGCUAAUACCGUAUACGUCCGUGAGGAGAAAGAUUUAUCGCCCCUAGACGGGCCCGCGUAGGAUUAGGUAGUUGGUGAGGUAACGGCUCACCAAGCCUACGAUCCUUAGCUGAUCUGAGAGGAUGAUCAGCCACACUGGGACUGAGACACGGCCCAGACUCCUACGGGAGGCAGCAGUGGGGAAUCUUGGACAAUGGGCGCAAGCCUGAUCCAGCCAUGCCGCGUGAGUGAAGAAGGCCUUCGGGUGUAAAGCUCUUUUACCAGGGACGAUAAUGACGGUACCUGGAGAAUAAGCCCCGCAAACUUCGUGCCAGCAGCCGC